rnacentral:pre_miRNA from 1 species
GGUUUCCUAGAUCCGUACAGAGAUUUCGUCAGACAACAAUCCAUUAGGGUUGACCAGACUUCCAAGAUAAGUGAAGCU